UACAGAGGUCCCAAGCGUUGUUCGGAUUCACUGGGCGUAAAGGGUGCGUAGGCGGUCGGGUAAGUCUGACGUGAAAUCUCCAAGCUCAACUUGGAAAUGGCGUCGGAUACUAUUCGGCUGGAGGAAUGGAGGGGAGACUGGAAUUCUCGGUGUAGCAGUGAAAUGCGUAGAUAUCGAGAGGAACACCAGUGGCGAAGGCGAGUCUCUGGACGACCCCUGACACUGAGGCACGAAAGCUAGGGGAGCAAACAGG
rnacentral:rRNA from 1 species